rnacentral:piRNA from 1 species
AUGCUAAUUAGUACUUGGUAGGUAAC